CUCAGGAUGAACGCUAGCGACAGGCUUAACACAUGCAAGUCGAGGGGCAGCGGGAAUUGUAGCAAUACGAUUUGCCGGCGACCGGCGCACGGGUGAGUAACACGUAUGCAACCUGCCCAUCGCAGGGGGAUAAGCGGGAGAAAUUCCGUCUAAUACCGCGUAAUAUCAUUUAAAGGCAUCUGUAGAUGAUCAAAGAAAUUCGGCGAUGGAUGGGCAUGCGGCGCAUUAGCUAGUCGGCGGGGUAACGGCCCACCGAGGCGACGAUGCGUAGGGGUUCUGAGAGGAAGGUCCCCCACACUGGUACUGAGACACGGACCAGACUCCUACGGGAGGCAGCAGUGAGGAAUAUUGGUCAAUGGGCGAGAGCCUGAACCAGCCAAGUCGCGUGAGGGACGACGGUCCUAUGGAUUGUAAACCUCUUUUGUCGGGGAGCAACGAGACCACGCGUGGCCGAAGAGAGAGUACCCGAAGAAAAAGCAUCGGCUAACUCCGUGCCAGCAGCCGCGGUAAUACGGAGGAUGCGAGCGUUAUCCGGAUUUAUUGGGUUUAAAGGGUGCGUAGGCGGAAGUUUAAGUCAGUGGUUAAACUGCGGGGCUCAACCCCGUAUCGCCAUUGAAACUGGAUUUCUCGAGUGGGUGAGAAGUACGCGGAAUGCGUGGUGUAGCGGUGAAAUGCUUAGAUAUCACGAAGAACUCCGAUUGCGAAGGCAGCGUACCAAUCCGUAAACUGACGGUGAUGCUCGAAAGUGUGGGUAUUAAACCAGGAUUAGAAUUCCCUUGGUAGUCCCACACGGUAAAACGAUGGAUACUCGCUGUUGGGGGAUAUAUUGUCAGCGGCCAAGGGAAAACGUUAAGUAUCCCCCCUGGGGGAGUACGCCGGCAACGGUGAAAACUCAAAGGAAUUGACGGGGGCCCGCACAAGCGGAGGAACAUGUGGUUUAAUUCGAUGAUACGCGAGGAACCUUACCCGGGCUUAAAUUGCACUGGACAGGCCAAGAGAUUGGCUCUUCUUCGGACCAGUGUGAAGGUGCUGCAUGGUUGUCGUCAGCUCGUGCCGUGAGGUGUCGGCUUAAGUGCCAUAACGAGCGCAACCCUUGCUUCCAGUUGCCAUCAGGUUAUGCUGGGGACUCUGGAAGGACUGCCAUCGUAAGAUGUGAGGAAGGUGGGGAUGACGUCAAAUCAGCACGGCCCUUACGUCCGGGGCUACACACGUGUUACAAUGGGGGGUACAGCAGGCUGCUACCGGGCGACCGGAUGCCAAUCCCAAAAACCCCUCUCAGUUCGGACUGGAGUCUGCAACCCGACUCCACGAAGCUGGAUUCGCUAGUAAUCGCGCAUCAGCCACGGCGCGGUGAAU
rnacentral:rRNA from 1 species